UACGGAGGGUGCGAGCGUUGUCCGGAAUCACUGGGCGUAAAGGGCGCGUAGGCGGCAGGCCAAGCGUGCGGUGAAAGUCCGGGGCUCAACCCCGGAUCUGCCGUGCGGACUGGUUUGCUAGAGCACUGUAGAGGCGAGUGGAAUUCCGGGUGUAGCGGUGGAAUGCGUAGAGAUCCGGAGGAACACCAAUGGCGAAGGCAGCUCACUGGUCCGGUACUGACGCUGAGGUGCGAAAGCGUGGGGAGCAAACAGG
rnacentral:rRNA from 1 species